GAUGAACGCUGGCGGCGUGCUUAACACAUGCAAGUCGAACGGGAUCCAUCAGGCUUUGCUUGGUGGUGAAAGUGGCGAACGGGUGAGUAAUGCGUGACCGACCUGCCCCAUACACCGGAAUAGCUCCUGGAAACGGGUGGUAAUGCCGGAUGCUCCAGUUGAUCGCAUGGUCUUCUGGGAAAGCUUUCGCGGUAUGGGAUGGGGUCGCGUCCUAUCAGCUUGACGGCGGGGUAACGGCCCACCGUGGCUUCGACGGGUAGCCGGCCUGAGAGGGCGACCGGCCACAUUGGGACUGAGAUACGGCCCAGACUCCUACGGGAGGCAGCAGUGGGGAAUAUUGCACAAUGGGCGCAAGCCUGAUGCAGCGACGCCGCGUGAGGGAUGGAGGCCUUCGGGUUGUAAACCUCUUUUAUCGGGGAGCAAGCGAGAGUGAGUUUACCCGUUGAAUAAGC
rnacentral:rRNA from 1 species